rnacentral:rRNA from 1 species
CCUACGGGAGGCAGCAGUGAGGAAUAUUGGUCAAUGGGCGCGAGCCUGAACCAGCCAAGUAGCGUGAAGGAUGACUGCCCUACGGGUUGUAAACUGCUUUUAUAAAGGAAUAAAGUGAGUCACGUGUGCCUUUUUGCAUGUACCUUAUGAAUAAGGAUCGGCUAACUCCGUGCCAGCAGCCGCGGUAAUACGGAGGAUCCGAGCGUUAUCCGGAUUUAUUGGGUUUAAAGGGAGCGUAGAUGGGUUGUUAAGUCAGUUGUGAAAGUUUGCGGCUCAACCGUGAAAUUGCAAUUGAUACUGGCAGCCUUGAGUACAGGUGAGGUAGGCGGAAUUCGUGGUGUAGCGGUGAAAUGCUUAGAUAUCACGAAGAACUCCGAUUGCGAAGGCAGCUUACUAAACUGCCACUGACGUUGAUGCUCGAAAGUGUGGGUAUCAAACAGGAUUAGAUACCCUAGUAGUC